rnacentral:lncRNA from 1 species
GGGAUUUCCGAGAAACUGGUGUACACCCGAGAACUGAGGUGCCAGGGGAUAAAGGGCAGGGGUAGGUCCUGCAGGAGUGGGGUAGGGCAGGAGGAAUAUAAGCGUCAGGAGCCCCGCGGUGCUCCCUGCGGAGCCGCUUCGUCCCGACCUUCUUCCAGAGUGAACCCUGAGUAAAGGACCUGGGAGAGAAGAAGCAUGGCAGGCAUUGGAACAGUUGCUGCUGCGGUUGGUGUGAAGCUGGUUGAGAAACUCAUAGACGAGGCAUUCGAGCAAGGAAGUGAGUGCUGAUCCCAUUCCUCCUGUCUGUGCUCAUCCUUGGGAACCUCUGGG